rnacentral:rRNA from 1 species
UACGAAGGGGGCGAGCGUUGUUCGGAAUUACUGGGCGUAAAGGGCGCGUAGGCGGUCCUUCAAGUCAGGCGUGAAAGCCCCGGGCUCAACCUGGGAACCGCGCUUGAGACUGGCGGACUCGAGUUCGGGAGAGGAUGGUGGAAUUCCCAGUGUAGAGGUGAAAUUCGUAGAUAUUCGCAAGAACACCAGUGGCGAAGGCGGCUCACUGGCCCGGUACUGACGCUGAGGUGCGAAAGCGUGGGGAGCAAACAGG